rnacentral:rRNA from 1 species
UUGCACAAUGGGCGAAAGCCUGAUGCAGCGACGCCGCGUGGGUGAUGAAGGCUUUCGGGUCGUAAAGCCCUUUUCUGCGUGACGAGACAAGGACGGUAGCGCAGGAAUAAGUCUCGGCUAACUACGUGCCAGCAGCCGCGGUAAGACGUAGGAGGCAAGCGUUAUCCGGAGUUACUGGGCGUAAAGCGCGUGUAGGCGGAUUGGUAAGUGGUUCGUGAAAUAUCCGGGCUAAACUCGGAGGGGACGAAUCAGACUGCUAGUCUGGAGGCGGGUAGAGGGGUGCGGAAUUCCGGGUGUAGCGGUGAAAUGUGUAGAUAUCCGGAGGAACACCAGAGGUGCAGACGGCGCCCUGGGCCCGACCUGACGCUGAGACGCGAAAGCUUGGGGAGCGAACGGGAUUAGAGACCCCGGUAGUCCAAGCCGUAAACGAUGUCAACUAGGUGUCCACUUGCCUACGGGUAAGGGGGCGCCGAAGCUAACGCGAUAAGUUGACCGCCUGGGGAGUACGGUCGCAAGAUUA